rnacentral:lncRNA from 1 species
AAGACAAAGCUCUGAGCCUGACGGCAAUGCGGCCGGGGAGGCUGUCUCAUCAGCAUCACUUUCAGAGAAACGGUCUUCCAAGUGAGGUGCCAGAGGGGUCCCAGGGGCCGAGUUCUGGUCCACAUCUUCCUUUCUUCCCCAGAGACACCUGAACAGUUCAUUCAGAGGAAAAUGCACUUUCCCACAACUUCCAGAGGCACUGAGUAAUAAUGGAUUUCAGUGUUGCUGAGCUCCUUGAAGAUCAAGUGCAACCCCUGAAGCUACCCAGGCACUCGGGGACCCCACGCAAACGUGCAGUGGCCUCUGGAGAGGAACUCGUGGUGAAAUUCAAGAAACAGCAGCAACAGAAACAAGAACAGAAGCACCACCGGCUGGCAGAGCCUGAAGCCCAAAAUCCCAAGGUUCUUCUGCAUUUUGAGACCUUCUUCAACAACACGGACACUCUGCUUGCCUCAGAUGCAGAACGAGGAGACACUCCAAGUGAUGGGCGUGGAAACGCUGAGAGAGAAAUAAACCGACUGCUGCCAAACCUCCGAGACCCCCAGGCUGUUUGUGACUGCAGCAGAACCGCGCAUAUCCUGACGCAGACGCCGGGGCCGGUUGCCUUUGCCUGGAUUCACACCAACCGAGAACGCUUCCGGUCCAACCGAGAACGCUUCCGGUCCAACCGAGAACGCUUCCGGGCCUCGGAGUGACCGCUCAAUGCGCCGUCAGUGCUUCUGCCCCCGUCUCUUCCCUGGGUCUGAACUUCUGCCUUGCAUGCUUGCUACUCAAAAUCUGAAUACAAAUUGCCGCGCCUUCAUUUUUAAACUGUUGAAUGUUGACAAAAGAAUAGUCAGUUCUGGUUUCCUAGUUUUCCCAGUUCAUGUUUCUUCACCUGUCACGUGAUAACAGACACAGAAGCCGCCUUCGGGAGGCUUGGUGUCAAAGGUCUAUCUGAAUUUCAGUGGAUGUCAGAUUCCCAGUGGUCCAGAGCCCCCGACUUGGGGCACCCAGAGUCUUCUGGUGUGUGCCGGGACAUCCCCUCUGUGGUGUGACUGUGCCCUGAGGCCUCCCCCAGGCACGGCCUUCUCCACGGCCACUUCUCUUACCACAGCCGGUUCUCUGCAGAAGAGCUGGUUUGGAGGAAGUGUUGUGUGUUUUCCUUUCAACGCAUCUGGGC